UGGAUUCAGAAAUUUUAAAACUAAUCAUGUCACCACCAAAUGCCAUAAUGACUAAUCCUUUGGCCACAUCAAUCUUCGUUUGAGCCGUUUUCAUGAAUGGCCUUCCAAGGAGGAUGGGUAAUGAAGGGGCAUGGUCCGAUUCAUCCAUUUCGAGGACAUAGAAAUCCGCCGGGAAGAUUAAAUGAUCAACCUGCACUAAAACGUCUUCCAAAACUCCCUUUGGAUAAGCGUUAGAUCUAUC
rnacentral:lncRNA from 1 species